GGUUUUUCGUUUCAGUAGGUAAUCGUUAUAACCAUGGUGGGCAUGGCCACGAAAGGUACUAUUUUUCUUACGAUUCCUAACAUAUUCCUUCAAUUUUUGUUCUUUAAUUUUUCUGAUUUUUGUUGCAUUUGAUUUUCUAAACAUAUUAGAUUAGAUUUCGACCUCUUUCAUCAACACUGCGAAACCGAUGUUCCGAUUGGCCGGGCAAAGUCAUGGUACACCAUCCCAUUUCAGAUUGUAAAAGGUUGACUUUUGGUUUCUGGCUUUUAACUUUGAGCUUUUGGUUUUUGUUUUUUAAUAUUUUCACGUAGAAAUAGCAUUAUUAAUAUGGGAGCACAACAAUAUAUAUGAACCUACAGAG
rnacentral:lncRNA from 1 species